CGCUGUGCUUCCAAUGCAGAUUCGGCCCGGCUAAAAGCCAGAGAACAGCAUCCAAAUGGAUAGCCGUUGGGGCCCAAAGGAGCUACCAAAAACCCCCAAAGAAAACGAGGGUCGAAGUUGUCUAUAAGGAUUUUGUGUCUUCAGCAAAUUCUUAGUGCCAAGGCAUGUGCUGAUUCGUAUUAAAAGUCAAAGUAACAAGUAUCUGUAAGCGUAAGAUCCAUUCAUAUGGAUAUGUCCAUGCUUAAUUUAGUGAAUGGUAAUUGAUAUUCUGCGUGCU